ensembl:antisense 4930417O22Rik RIKEN cDNA 4930417O22 gene
UGGAAUCUUUUCCUGAAGGGAGGGCUAGAUGACUCCCUGAAGAGCCUUCCCUAUCCCAGGUUUUCCCAACAUUGCCCUGGAUAUCCUGGAGCUUGCUGUGUAGAUCAGGCUGGCUUUGAACUCCCAGAGUGCCACCACUCUCAGCUUUGUAGAAAGAAUAUCUUACAAGCAUCACCUAGAGACACUGAGGGAGACUCGAAGGAAGAAGCAGACCAGGACGGAAGGAGAGGUUGGAGCCACAGAGGGAAAGAAAAGCCAACAUGUUAUACUUGUCCCAGAGCCACAGAAAGAACCUCAGUGAUGGCUUAGUGGCUAAGAGCGCUGGCUGUCUGCUCUUCCGGAGGAUCCAGGUUCUGUUCCUAGCACCCACACAGUGGCUCACAACUGUCUGCAAGUCCAGUUCCAGGGUAUCUGAUGCCAUCUUCUGAUCUCCUCAGGCACCAGGCUUGUAAAUGCUACACAGGCAUAUAUACAAGCAAAAGCACUCACACACCUAAAUUAAAUCACAAACAAAACAAGAACACUUUCAAUACUUGUGGAACUUUCCCAAGACCUGAGACCUCAUGUGCCCUCAGAUGGGGAAACCAGGGUGCACUCCAAGAAUGGGGAAGGCCCAAGUGCUCUCAUCCUCAGUGGUCAGGAGACAGGGUUGGGGAAUGUGGGCUCCUUUCAGGGAACCUGUGGAAGAGGGUUUAUACAGGUCUCAGCACCAGAUUUCAGUGUCUGUGGCUCUGGGUCACCCAGGAAGCCUCUGCAGACCCCUCUGUCUUCCCUGCAACAAGUCCAAGUCAUUUCAAAGAGAGUGGGGAACUUGGGGACCCUGUGGCUCUUUUGGGUUUCUGCAACUUUGUCUCCUUUAUGAGGAGGAAUGGUUUGUUCUUAGAAUGUAAGUAGGGGCUCUUCGAGUGAGAAGUGAGUGGUGUGUGCAUGUGUGUGUGUGUGUGUGUGUGUGUGUGUGUGUGUGUUUCCGUGUUUCCUUCUGUCUCUCUGUCUGCUUGACUCUCAGCCUAUUAAUACAAGCCCUGUGAUUAAUACAAGCCCCGUGUCUGGCUGUACCCCAAGCACACGUGCUCCCUGCCAUAGAGUACCACCCCUCCCAGAUCAGCCUGUUGUUUGUUCUUUCUGAUGGGCGCCAGCCUUGUAGACCCCAUGGAGGUAGAAUAUAACUUUCCAUAAAUAAACUCUAACCUGACCUAC